AGACGAAGACUUGUAUUCACUGUUCCAUCCUGACCGCACGUGUAUGUGGGCCUUAGAAUAACUAGACUUCUCAAGAUGUGCAGUCGGAUCUUGCUUUUCUGUAUUGUAUCUUCAUGUUCACGUUUAGUCGACACCAAUGUAUGUACUGACUUGAACAAGAUCCCACAGCUUGCCAAGGAUAGUAACCUGUUGGUAUCUUUGGAACUCAGCAAACAAUUGAUAGACUCGUCUCUUCUAAAAUGCGUACAACGUUGUCACGGAUGGACACUGUGUAAAUCAUUUGAUUUCAACUUUGGAAAUUCUGACUGUUCUCUUAAUACAGUCAACAGCUCUGAUUUAAGCCCAGAACUACUCAUACAACAAGUCGGAAUGGGUCACAGUUCAAUAUCAGAUUGGCCUAACAGUUUUGCUGGUGCAUGUCAAGAUCACAGUUGUCCUAAUGACCAAUAUUGUGAAGACGUUGAUGGUGCCCCAACCUGCCACUCGAUCUAAUCGGAAGAACGGCACAGUUUCCUCACUUGUGUUGAUUCUGCAGUAUCUUGAGGAAGACCACAAUGUGCAUGUGAAGAACAAAAUGCUCAAAACACACAAAAGACGUGUGAACAGUUUCUUGACUUAAUUCUAUAUAUGGACGUUUUGCGUGCGGCGUUAAGCAGCAAAUAUAUGAACAGAAUUGAAAGAAUUUAAAUUUAAUCGGACAAUCAAAUCGUUUCCAGUUAAGUCUUCAUAUCGAUGUAAUGUCUAACAACCUUAUUUUCAAUGCGAUUUCUUGUUGCUCCUAAUUUAGAUUUGAUGUAAAUUAUUUCAUUUCAAACAUGUGUUAGAUUGUGUUACAAUUUACGUCGGAACAAUGUGUCAUUGACAAAAUACUCUAAUAUACUGAACAGCAAAAGAAACGCAAGUUUCGAAAAAUGAAAUCUCAUAAAAGUAAGCGUUUAUGUUUAUGUCUUCUAUUU